CCCGCUCCUGCCCCCGGUUCUGUGCACCAGCCAGGAAGUGCAUUCCAUCACAGGUUUUAGAUUCUCAGCAGGAAGAAAAGGGGGACUCGUGUGUCCCCCCGGAAAGCCUCACUUCGCAACAUACUGCCCUGGAGAAAAGUCAAGGCCAGAGUCAAAAAUCUAUCUUUUUGUUUUCUAGCAAGAGGGCUUCCACAGGUCGCAUCAGAAAGGCAUCCAUGGGAGGCGGAGAAGGGAGCUGGUCCCGAAAUGACCACUGAUGGCUUCUCCAGCCGUGCUUGAGGGGAAGCCCACAGCUCUCCGGUCUCAGGGAGGACGAGGACCCAAAGACAAGGAGGCCAGGCAUCCUCCUGAGAAGAUCCCGGUGGACAGGGGCCUGCCUGGGUAGACGUCCCCGCCGCGGUCGCAGGGGAGCAGGCAGAACCCCAGGUUCUGGAGCAGCACAGGGGGAGAGCGGGGCAUCGGAGACCAAGCCAGCCACAGCCCCAAGUGCUUGCUGGUGCCCGGAGAGAGUGUGUGAGGCCCGGAACCUCCCCUCCCUUCUUUCUUCCUUUCUUUUUGUUUCUUUGUUUUUUUGUCUUGUUUUGUUUUUUGAGACAGGGUUCCGCUAUGUAGCUCAGGCUGGCCUUGAACUCUUUAUGUAGCUCAGGCUGGCCUCGAACUCAUGGUGAUCCUCCUGCCUCAGGCUUCUGAGAGCUGGGAUGACAGGCGUGCACCACCACACCUGGCCCCUUCUUUUCUGUAAUGAGGAUGAAACCCACGGCCUUCACACUGAGCUACAUCCUCAGCCCCUGUUUUUAUUUUUAUUUUUCAUUUUAAAAUUGUGCCUUGUCAAACCACUGAGUUGUCUGGUCUGGGUCCCAGCUUGUAGUCUUCCUGCCUCACCCUCCCACAGGCGCACAGGAUUACAGGCGCACAACACCACGGCCAGCUGUGAGGUCCUCUCAAAGUCCCAAACCACAGUGACCUGCAUAAGUUCUGCAGUCUAAGGAGUCUUCAAACCCGGAUCACAAGCCAGUGGAUUGAGGACAGAAACCCUCCGCAGAGCCCAGGCCCCGCAGGGCGCUUGGGUCCUCCCUCACGUCUGCCCUGCACCAGCUCUCGGAGCUGGAGCGCUGAAGCUGGAAUCCACAUCUUUACAGACCUUUACAGACCGAAGCUGCACAGGGCCUGGAAACCAUCCAUCCAUCCACACUCAGAUCCUCGGCCACACGGAGCCUUCCGCAAAGACAGAGAGGAAGGCCCAGGCAGUGGGUAGUGGGUAGGUGGGCGGACCUCUCCCAUUCAAACUGGCCUCAGGCCCACCCUGUCCUCCGCCCAAACCAUCCGUGGCUCCCACUGCCAGCCCAGCCCAAUGUGCUGGCCUGGGGUCCAGGUUAGCCUUUGUCCCAGGCGACCUCUCCAGCCCUGUGUCCUCGGCACUCUAAAAACUGAUAAAAACAACCAGGGAAGGCACGGAGGAGCCCAACAGCCCCCACCAGGGAGGAUCGCCCAGGAAACCGCACAGGGAGCCAGUGCCGCCCCCCACGUCCCGGUCCACUGCUGCCUUAGUGCAGAGCCCCCUCCCAAGCCCCUCACUGCCCAGGUUCCCCGCACCGCCUUUCCUCAGCCUGGCCUGCGCUUCACUUAUAAACACACACACCUCUCACUGGGUGUGGUGCACAUGCAUGCCUGCUAUCUCAGCGCUUGGAGGCUGAGUCAGGAGGAUCGCAAUUCCAAACCCAGCCUGAACAACUUAGCCACUAAGAUCCUGUCUCAAAAUAAAAAUAAAAAAUAAAAAAAGACUUGGGAUAUAGCUCAGCAAGAAGCCCUGGGUUCAAUUCCUAGUAGUGCAAAAAAUAAAUACG
rnacentral:lncRNA from 1 species